UACGUAGGGUGCGAGCGUUGUCCGGAAUUAUUGGGCGUAAAGGGCUCGUAGGCGGUCUGUCGCGUCGGGAGUGAAAACUCAGGGCUUAACCCUGAGCCUGCUUCCGAUACGGGCAGACUAGAGGUAUGCAGGGGAGAACGGAAUUCCUGGUGUAGCGGUGAAAUGCGUAGAUAUCAGGAGGAACACCGGUGGCGAAGGCGGUUCUCUGGGCAUUACCUGACGCUGAGGAGCGAAAGUGUGGGGAGCGAACAGG
rnacentral:rRNA from 1 species